GACGAACGCUGGCGGCGCGCUUAACACAUGCAAGUCGAGCGAAGCGGCGGACGGGUGAUUAACACGUGAGUAACCUGCCUUAGACCUUGGGAUAGCCUCGGGAAACCGGGCUUACUACCACAUGGUCUAAGAUUGACUCGCGUCCCAUUAGAUAGUUGGUGAGGUAACGGCCCACCAAGGCGACGAGGGGUAGCCGGCCUUGGAGGGUGAACGGGAACAUUGGAACGGAGAAACGGUCCAAACUCUACGGAAGGCAGCAGUGGGGAAUAUUGCACAAUGGAGGGAACGCUGAGGCAGCGACGCCGCGUGAACGAAGAAGGCUUUCGAGUCGUAAAGUUCUUUUAUAUGGGAAGCGGUACCAUAAGAAAAAGCCCCGGCUAACUACGUGCCAGCAGCCGCGGUAAUUC
rnacentral:rRNA from 1 species